UACAGAGGUCUCAAGCGUUUGUUCGGAUUCAUUGGGGCGUAAAGGGUGCGUAGGCGGCGCGGUAAGUCGGGUGUGAAAUCUCGGAGCUUAACUCCGAAACUGCAUUCGAUACUGCCGUGCUUGAGGACUGGAGAGGAGACUGGAAUUUACGGUGUAGCGGUGAAAUGCGUAGAUAUCGUAAGGAAGACCGUGGCGAAGCGGGUCUCUGGAC
rnacentral:rRNA from 1 species